rnacentral:rRNA from 1 species
GUUAGGAAUCUUCCACAAUGGGCGAAAGCCUGAUGGAGCGACGCCGCGUGAAGGAUGAAGGUCCUCGGAUCGUAAACUUCUAAAAGAGGGACGAUAAUGACGGUACCUCUUGAAAAGCACCGGCUAACUCCGUGCCAGCAGCCGCGGUAAUACGGAGGGUGCUAGCGUUAUCCGGAAUCACUGGGCGUAAAGGGCGCGUAGGCGGUUUGUUAAGUCCGAUGUUAAAGACUGGGGCUCAACCCCAGCAUUGCGUUGGAUACUGGCAGGCUUGACGGUUGGAGAGGCGAGUGGAAUUACCAGUGUAGCGGUGGAAUGCGUAGAUACUGGUAGGAACACCCAUUGCGAAGGCAGCUCGCUGGACAACACGUGACGCUGAGGCGCGAAAGUGUGGGGAGCAAACCGGAUUAGAAACCCUAGUAGUCC